UGGGGAAUAUUGGACAAUGGGCGAAAGCCUGAUCCAGCCAUGCCGCGUGUGUGAAGAAGGUCUUCGGAUUGUAAAGCACUUUAAGUUGGGAGGAAGGGUUGUAGAUUAAUACUCUGCAAUUUUGACGUUACCGACAGAAUAAGCACCGGCUAACUCUGUGCCAGCAGCCGCGGUAAUACAGAGGGUGCAAGCGUUAAUCGGAAUUACUGGGCGUAAAGCGCGCGUAGGUGGUUAGUUAAGUUGGAUGUGAAAUCCCCGGGCUCAACCUGGGAACUGCAUUCAAAACUGACUGACUAGAGUAUGGUAGAGGGUGGUGGAAUUUCCUGUGUAGCGGUGAAAUGCGUAGAUAUAGGAAGGAACACCAGUGGCGAAGGCGACCACCUGGACUGAUACUGACACUGAGGUGCGAAAGCGUGGGGAGCAAACAGGAUUAGAUACCCCAGUAGUCCCUGAGCGGGC
rnacentral:rRNA from 1 species